rnacentral:misc_RNA from 4 species
CAACCCUCAAGCCCUGCUUGGUGUUGGGGCCCUACGGCUGCCGUAGGCCCUGAAAGGAAGUGGCGGGCUCGCUACAACUCCGAGCGUAGUAAUUCAUUAUCUCGCUAGGGAGGUUGCGGCGUGCUCCUGCCGUUAAAGACCCAUCUUUAACCAA